GUAGUACUCCUUCCGUCCCAAAAUUCUUGUCUUAGGUUUUUCUAAAAAUAGAUGUAUUCAAAUACUAAAAUGUGACUAGAUACAUUCACAUCCAAACAAAUAUAUGACAAGAACUUUGGGACGGAGGGAGUAUUAA
rfam:Hordeum vulgare subsp. vulgare, WGS project CAJW01000000 data, contig: morex_contig_1587520